AACGAACGCUGGCGGCAGGCUUAACACAUGCAAGUCGAACGAUGUAGCAAUACAUAGUGGCGCACGGGUGAGUAACGCGUGGGAAUGUACCAUUUAGUGGGGGAUAACUUCGGGAAACUGAAGCUAAUACCGCAUACGCCCGAGAGGGGAAAGAUUUAUCGCUAAAUGAUCAGCCCGCGUGAGAUUAGGUAGUUGGUGGGGUAAUGGCCUACCAAGCCUACGAUCUCUAGCUGGUCUGAGAGGAUGAUCAGCCACACUGGAACUGAGACACGGUCCAGACUCCUACGGGAGGCAGCAGUGGGGAAUAUUGGGCAAUGGACGAAAGUCUGACCCAGCCAUGCCGCGUGAGUGAUGAAGGCUUUAGGGUUGUAAAGCUCUUUCGCCGAUGAAGAUAAUGACGGUAGUCGGAGAAGAAGCCCCGGCUAACUUCG
rnacentral:rRNA from 1 species